CCUCACCUGGCGUGGCUACAGCUUAACACGAGGGGGCCAUCUUUCAGGGGAGGGGGCAGCACAGCCCAGUUCUCCUGACCCCUGAAACACCAGGUUGACUACGAGCUCCGGCAGGUCAGCCUGUCUUUUCCGUGCCACUUGUACCAAUGUUUUGUCAGCAGAUGUUUUCAUUCACAGUGAAUUAAGGAGCUUUUAAAUAACUAACUAUCUAACUUUUUGUAUGGCUUGAUGGAGCCGAUUCAUUUAAUGGCCCAGGCUUCACCACCCAGAGUUCACAGCCCCACCAGGCAGGGGCUGCAAACGGACGGCAUCACAGGCCCCCACUUUAGCUAAAGACGGAGAGAACAACAUACACGCAAUAAACAAUUUUCUCAAAUUAUGCAGUAAAAGAUUCCAUUGUACUCUCUGCAAUAUGCCAUGAAUAAAGAAGACCAGAAUAAUGAAAAUGACUUUGCGGAUCAAAUGAGUGAACAGAAAGGGGUAAUAGUCAGUAAUGAAACAGAAGGACCACAGAGAGGAGACUUUAAAGCAGCCAAGCAGCAGAUGUACUCAGGACAAGAAGGCCCGCUCUGGACGUGACUGUUUGCUUAAUUCACGCUCUCUGCUACGUCUCGCCCAUUAGCAUGACACGCACAGUCACAGUGACUGUUCACUGCAUGUUUGUCUGCGCAUAGCAGCUGCGUGUUGAUUUAUGUUUUUGGCCAGCAGAAGGAUGAGAGCACAAGAGGCUUUUAGCAAGAAAAAGAAACCAAUAGAAACAGAGGGUUAAGGAUCCCAUUCAAGCAGGACCAUGGUCAGGACUGGAACCUACAACCUUCAGAGAGCCUGUGCCUACCCAGGUUCGGGAGCUGGGUCACACGGUGGUGAUUCUGGUGACAGUGAAGGGAAUGGUGGCCAGCCUGGAUGUUAGCGCCUCCUACAGGCCUGUAAGGGGAAUAGAAGUUGCUGCUGGGCCUGUUCUUCAGAGAGUACGCAGGAAGAAGGGCGCCCCUGCUGGCUGAAGGCGGGGUCACAUCCGGGCAGCAAUGCCACUGGUGACACUGGCAGGACGACUCAGGGAAGUGCAGGAGGCAGCAGGACGGAGACACGGAGACGUCUCCCUCGUGAAAUGUCACCACGUCACGGCGGAAUGGCGCACCUAGAACAGUGACCCGGAACGCCCCAUGGGACAGAAGAUGGGAGAUGAGGGACAGGAGAAGGCAGACAGGGGCCAGGAAAUGGGAACUUCAUCUGCACAUUGAGAUGUUGUGGCAUCGUCACUGUCUUGGAGGGGAGGGGGGGGCAUCCUUGCCCACGUCUGUGCUGCGGAUUGGGGAACGGACAGCCGCACUAAGCUAUUUGACAGUCCUUAAUGUGAAGACAAGAAGAUUCCCACAGGUGACACCGGGAAUUCAGAUCACGACUUCCUGCAGAGAAGCCAAGAGCCAAGCAUGUGUGGUCUGGCCCACGGCGUCCGUGGUGGGAAACAGGCUCUCGCCAAACUGGGCGGAGUAAUUAGCGCAACGGAAGGCGGCGGGGGACCAAAGAAUCCCCUGGCAUGUCGCGACGCUGCCCCACAGUGAGGAGGUCUUCGGGCCAGUCGACUCAAUGGAGUCCGCCUUCAUCCCAUGAUGGAUCACGCCGCACUUCGGCAAAUACUGCCAGCCACCCAGCCCAGCCAGCUCACUGUGUACUUAUCAGCCACACAGCUCAGAUAAUCUUUUUUUAUUUCCUCCUACACCAUUCUCUCCCUCCUAGUUUAUAACCCCUAACUUAUUGAACAUGGUGAUUAAUGUCUGCCUUUCUCUUUUCUUCCGUUCUGGCCUUUUCUUGUCCUUUGUUUCCUAUCCCAGACAGUACAUUUAUUUCAGGUACGCUUUGUGCUACCUCUAAGGAAUCUAAACAUGAGGGAAGUCAAUGUGGCCAGCAGGGGGCAUGGCGGUUAAUGGAGCAGUGCAAUCGCUGGAUGCUUUUGAUUCGUAUCUCAGGAGAGGCCACAGUGCACCAGCUGAAUUUCUCCAGGAAAUUAUAUAGCCCUAUUAAUGUGUGCAGUCAAAGGACAAUUUGAAUGAAAAAAAAAAAGCCAAAUCGCUGAAGGUGAAGUAAACCGGGAAAGAAUGACACACCAGGGAGGGUGAGAGAAAAACGAGGUCCAAACAGAACCAGGGGCCGUAAACAGAGCUGAACCACAGGGGCCUAAACAGAGGCACUAGAUGUUCCUCGCUGAAUUCUCGACAAAGUAAGGAUAUCAUGGCUAAACUGAGCCUGAACCCCCGAGAGAGGCAGGAAGGCAUUACUUAAAGGGACAGAUGGCCUCCCCUCUCUGAGGCGGAGAUCAGAAAUCGUGCACCACGCCUUUAAGGCAGCUGCCUCCAUGAUUACUCUUCCCUAACAGAAGAACAGGCCGGUCUGAACGGCGCGGCGUGUGAAAUUACCAGCCAGGUAGCGAUUUUAAACUCCUGACUUUGAUUAAGCAUGCCGUAUAAGGUUGGAGACAGUUGGUAAUUACUCGGGGAUGUGGCUUUAAAUUAUUCUGACUUAUCAGGGAAACUUUGCCUUUGCUCGCAGGGAGGGGGGGCUCCUUUUCCAGGGGAAGGGAGGCCCUGUCAGGAUGCAUUUGUACUCAUUUGCUAAUGCAUGUCAGUCUGUCACUUCCAUGGACUUGGGUGCCAGUUCCUAGCCCAGGCUGUCAGAAAUUGCACCAAGGGGCAUCAUGCACCCCCUCCCCCCACCCAGCUCCCUUUUCUCCAUGGCAGCAUCAUAACAAUGUCCCAGCUGUAGCUGGAAGGCUCUGAGAGGUACCUUGGCUACU